AUACUCUGAAUCAGAUUAUACACUCUGAAAUAUAAAUUCAGGCCAUAUACAUUCCGCUUUUGCAGCUAACCUACCAAGUAUUACACUUCUAGGACCAAAAACUUGAAAGUGGAAUAGCACAACUUAAGUAUUGAACUAACCUCUACUUGAAAGCAUUGCACGCAUUUGUGAAUUCAAGCAUAGUUAUCUGGAGGAAAUAAUUCAGCAAAUACAAUAUGCGUCGAAAAUUCAGAGAUCUCAUGAGAGGUGGAUUGAUGCCCAAUGUAUUGAGAAACAAUACACAUGUUUCAGCAGGUAGUUCGAUGAACUGAAGCAAAUUAUCUACAAAGAAUAGAAAAGAAAAUGAGUACAUAACCCGGGGACCAAAUUGGUAAACAAUACCACAAUCUUGAAAAGAAACAUCAACAUCAGUAAAUUUUAGAAGUCUUGUGCCACUUGCGGUUGCGCCCCAUGAAAUGGCAAGAGAACCGCACAUAGUGGCAAGCAGUUGGCUUUGCUCGGCAAACAAAACUUGCAGAAUGUUUUGUAAGAAUUUUGGUAAUUUUACUACAUAACAAUUCUCCUAAUUCCUAACCAAAAAACAUUACCCAAACAACUGCAGGAUUUUUUUCUCUAAAACCUAGACUUGCAAGAGAAACAUCCACAGUUGUACACAAACCAAUGCUGAUAUCAUUUGCAGAAUUUCCUGAGUUCGUUCUUGCUACUUUUUCACAUGGCAGUCAGUCAAUUUGACAAUUUUUUCAGUGCUCAAAUAUUGAAAUAUAUGUUCUUAUAGCGAGUAUGUUCAGAGGACCGUAGAGAAAAACAGGUUUGUAUUAAUUGACUUGUUAAUUGACUCUCUACAGCCCCUCAAAAAUUAUACACAAACACAAUCGUCAAAAUCCGGAGCCGACCCUCAAGUAAGCUAGCUAGGUUCUGGGCUUAGUGCUGAAGUGCAUAGUACUGUGCUACAUCACAUUACAGGGAGACGAUGAUACGAGCAGGAGGAAUUUGAGUAUCCUAAACUGUAACAGAACAGCCCCACUACCGCAAACCAUCGAUACAUCAAGAUCUUUAUUUUACCAUCUCUAAAUAAAUUUCUAAAUACACAAAAUCUUGAGGGACUGACUGUUAGCUACAACCAAGCUCUGUUAUACUACAAGAAGUAGAAUAAAGCAUGUGAGACUGGGUAUCUCCAUUGCGACUCUGCUCCACAUUGGUCAGCUCAAACAGACUCCAGCCAGUACUAAAUGGCAGGGAGCGGCGAAGGUUUAAGCCGCAUCUAAUCUGAUCUACCCAACAAGUUACUAAGUUUAAUACUGGAUUUACUUGUUCCAGUAAAAUUGCUUCCUUGCUAUGAAUUAUUGAUCUAGUAAUCAUACCAUAACAAUCACUCAUCAUUAUAGGUUUCACUCUUGUUUGUAAACUCUGCAGAAAUAUUAACCACAUAAAUCUUGUAAGCAAUUAUCUACGAAAAACUGGUUCUGCAUGUAAGUACGCUAAUUCUUGCAAACAUAAAUCUGCUUGGACUGAAAAGCCUGGAACAACAUGGCCUGAUGUUGUUGCUAUUCAUGGUGUAAUUCACAGGAUGCUUCAAGGCGAAAAAGUUCUGCCAGCACGAAGUUCAAAUUGUACAUUAUUGCCAUGCUCAACUCGGAACAAACAUUAGAGCACUGGUCUGAUGUGGGAGCCAGGGAAAAACACAUACGUACUAUUUCUAGUUGCUCGAAAGAAACAAUCUUUUCCAAUAUCAACUAAAUUAAGAUUUACAUGUGGGUAUUUGUACAAACCAUGGACUAUCUGCAAGAAGCAGCGCAGACAAAAAUUUCAGUUCAGUCUCCAUUAGAAAGGUAAGGUAAGCGUGCAGACCUCAUGCCGAGACGAGCUGAUGUUGCUGGCAGCGAGGAAGGCUCGGCGUCCUCUGACUAUGGAUGCACACUGGCCAGAAUCACGUAGCCACGGCCCCGACCAGAAUCACCGUGUCUGUCCCGGAUUAGAGAGAGGGAACAACAAAAUACAAGCAUGGUUUUGGUACGGAUUCACAGAAGACCCUAAUCAAACAUCACGACAGCAUACUAUUUGGAAUUCAGAAAUCCAUUCAAGUCAUGCACUCCAAUCACCCAAGAAUGAUUACCAACAAGCAUCAUGUUCUAGAAAAAAUAUUCAGGCACGCCAUGGUUUCCAAUUCAGAAGAUGAAGCACAGCAAACAGGCUGUUAAGCCCAAUUCUAAAAAUCAAACAUACCUUGUUAGCUAUUCUAGUCGCUGCAGU
rnacentral:lncRNA from 1 species